UGGCCGUAUCAUGUUAAAACAUCGAUUCCCAUACAAUCAGUGAAGUUAAGUGAUCUCAAGCCUGGUCAGUACCUAGAUGGGUGACCACUUGGGAAUACCAGCUGCUAU